UGAAUACGAGACGCUAAGGCGUCGAAGUAGUGUAUGUCAUACUUCCAAGAAAAGCUUGCACUGUCAUAGAUAAAAAACGCCUGUACCAUAACCGACACAGGUGGGUAGGUAGAGUAUACUAAGGGGCGCGAGAUAACUCUCUCUAAGGAACUCGGCAAAAUAACUCCGUAACUUCGGGAGAAGGAGUGCCUUAUUAUUAAGGCUGCAAUAACAAGAUCCAAGCAACUGUUUAUCAAAAACACAGGUCUCCGCUAAGUCGUAAGACGAUGUAUGGGGGCUGACGCCUGCCCAGUGCCAGAAGGUUAAAGAAGUUGGUUAGCAUUUGCGAAGCUGAUAACUGAAGCCCUGGUGAACGGCGGCCGUAACAAUAACGGUCCUAAGGUAGCGAAAUUCCUUGUCGGGUAAGUUCCGACCCGCACGAAAGGCGUAAUGAUUUGGAUACUGUCUCGGAGAGGGGCUCGGUGAAAUAGACUUGUCUGUGAAGAUGCGGACUACCUGCACCAGGACAGAAAGACCCUAUGAAGCUUUACUGUAACUUGAAAUUGAAAUUGGACUUUAUUCGCGCAGCAUAGGUGGGAGGCGUUGAUUAUAAUCUUGUGGGAUUAUUGGAGCCAUCAGUGAGAUACCACUCUUGUAAUGUUAGAUUUCUAACUUUGAAUCAUUAUCUGGUCAAAGAACAGUUUCAGGCGGGCAGUUUGACUGGGGCGGUCGCCUCCUAAACGGUAACGGAGGCGUACAAAGGUUUCCUCUGAACGGUUAGAAAUCGUAUCUAGAGUGUAAAGGCAUAAGGAAGCUUGACUGUGAGACCUACAAGUCGAGCAGGGACGAAAGUCGGUCUUAGUGAUCUGACGGUACUGAGUGGAAAGGCCGUCACUCAACGGAUAAAAGUUACUCUAAGGAUAACAGGCUGAUCUCCCCCAAGAGUUCACAUCGACGGGGAGGUUUGGCACCUCGAUGUCGGCUCAUCGCAUCCUGGGGCGGUAGCACGUCCCAAGGGUUGGGCUGUUCGCCCAUGAAAGCGGUACGCGAGCUGGGUUCAGAACGUCGUGAGACAGUUCGGUCCAUAUCCGGCGUAGGCGUUAGAAUAUUGAGAGGAGCCUUCUUUAGUACGAGAGGACCGAGAAGGACAUACCUCUGGUGUACCAGUUAUCGUGCCAACGGUAAACGCUGGGUAGCUAUGUAUGGAGUGGAUAACCGCUGAAAGCAUCUAAGUGGGAAGCCCACCUCAAGAUAAGUAUUCUCAU
rnacentral:rRNA from 1 species